GCCCAGAUUUAAUUCUUAGCUCCUGGCUCUGGCUCUGACGUGGCUUGAGUUGUUGAGAGCAUUUUGGUGUGAACCAGUGGAUAGGAACUCUAUCUGCCUUUCUUUCUUUGUUUCUCUGCCUCUCAAAUAAAUCAAUGAAAUUUUUUAAAAAUAAAAAAAUGAACAUUAUUAGGCUCUUGUGAGCAUAAUGUGAGAUUAGUAUAUAUAAACUUUCACUGAGGUCAUUGACUGUGUAUAAUACAUUGUUCCUCAGAGGUCAGGUACAGUACAUUCAUAGAAAAAGCAUUAACAAAGUCUAACUAUUAUUCAGAAGGACCUCUUCUGUUUUCAUUUUCAACCUAGGCCAAUUGGUACAUUGAGAACAACUGAACUGUUCAGUUUUUCCCAUAGUCUGGGACAAAUCAAAACAAAAAUACAUGAGAAUUAAUUUAUUUCCUCAUUAUUUUUCUUUCCAUCAAUCACUCCUCCCCUUGGUGUGUCCUCUUCCAGCUCCUUCAUUUUUUUCCUGUUCGUGCGGUGAAGUCCAUGGUGAUGUCAUUUCCCUUCAAACUUUCCCUCCUUUCUACCUAUCAAAACAGAAGAUUUCUAUUUUAUUGAAACAGAGGCUAUGUCGAAGACAAUCUUCAAAUCUUUAAUCUAUCUGUGGAAGGAAGAACAAUAACGUCCACAUCCUAAUCCUUAGAAACUGUAAGUAUGUGACAUUUUAUACUGGGAACAUUAAAAUUGCACAUGGAAAGACAGUUGCAAAUUAAUGGGCAUUUAGUUUAAGACACUGGUUAAAAUACUUAUGUCUCCAUUGGAGUACUUGCAUCCAAUGUCUGGCUGUGGCUCCU
rnacentral:lncRNA from 1 species